UCCUACGGGAGGCAGCAGUGGGGAAUUUUGGACAAUGGGCGAAAGCCUGAUCCAGCCAUGCCGCGUGAGUGAAGAAGGCCUUCGGGUUGUAAAGCUCUUUUAGUCGGAAAGAAAGAGUUGCGAUGAAUAACUUGUGAUUUAUGACGGUACCGACAGCAAAAAGCACCGGCUAACUACGUGCCAGCAGCCGCGGUAAU
rnacentral:rRNA from 1 species